GAUGAUAAAAAAAACUAGUAUAAAUUUGUGUGGUAAUUAUAUAUGAAAACUAACAAGAAGAUUGUAGAAAUAAUGGAAAUUCAAGAUGUCAAAAUUUAAUAAAUAUGGCUUGAAAUUUAGAGGGUUUUUUCAAGAAAAUGUUGAAGACAGUUUGAGAGAGAGAGAGAGAAGAUGUUUUUGUUUUGGAUAAGUGCAGGGAACAAGGGGGGUGAUACGUUUUUGUAGUAUGGGGAUCGAAAGGAUGGGUGAACGUGGACUUGUUCAAAG
rnacentral:lncRNA from 1 species